rnacentral:sRNA from 1 species
GCCGGGCAUGGUGGCGGGUGCCUGUAAUCCCAGCUACUUAGGAGGCUGAGGCAGGAGAAUCACUUGAACCCGGGAGGUGGAGUUGAGGUGGCAGUGAGCAAGAUCAUGCCACUGCACUCCAGCCUGGUGGAGAGAGUGAGACUCCGCCUCAA